AAGUCAACAUCAGCCCAUGAACUAUGUGACAAGGGUAUAUGUUGAAUAUUGAAUAUCCAAGCACUCAAGACAUGCAAAGAGAAUAUGCGGCGUAUUUCUUUGAUCUUUGAGCACAACUGAACAGUAUAGUUGCAUUGCAUCACCUUUCAGCUGUCUAUGUGGUUUGCUAGCAUUAUUGGUAUUCUUGCUCAAUCCAUUAUGAAUUAUCUCCGCCUCUGUUAUGUAUUAUUGCCAUUGUGUUGAUAGCUGAUUAGUCUGCUUGAUAUCUCCUUACACAUUUGAUGUAGGACGGUCGAUGCCGGCAGUUUCUUCUAUGUAAUAUAUAUACAAAACAGGUAGGGGGCUGCAAAAGCCAUAGACAACGGAGGGACUAUCAUGGAUGGUUUCAUGGAUGCUGGACAGUUGCAGAUAACUCACCUAUCCUUUUAUUCUAUGGUAUACACGAUAGCCAGCGAGGAUAUCAUGAGAUCAAACCAGAUACUCUUGGCCGUGUGAAUUGGCUGGCGGAGAGUAGCUUGAUCUAUCCAGAUUUAAUUCCCAAGAGACAAAAAAGGAAAGAAAAAAGAAACAAUGGUCAUUAAAAAAAGAAAAGUAAAAUGGACUGAAGACAUAAAAUUAUAAAGCCUCGUUUGAGAUACUACCUAUAGUUCUGACGUACUACGAACAGUGCUAGGUUUAAUUCGUUUUCGGUGGGAUAUUUGUACUAUGUACGACUGCCAAAAGAAUAUAAUAUUAUGGACAGUUAAGUAAAGAUGCAUACUGUAGUGUCAACUGUUGCUGAUUGGAACUACUACUUGGCAGCCGCAGCAUGGGUACUACUCCUCCCGGUACUACUUAAAACCAUGGGAGGGCUCAGCACUGGAGGUACGACCAUCUAUCCCAUCCAUCUCCUCUGCUCCAAAACCAACGCCAAGAGCCCUUUCUCUCACCACCUCUCCUUUCAAUUCCAGUACGGCGGUCGCUCACCGGAUCCAAGAAGAAAAAACCUCUCCCAUUUCCUGUUGUGUUUCGAGGUUUUAUUUGGGUUUCCUUUCGGAUCUUUGGGUUGUUUAAUUGCUGCUUUUGUGUCGGAAGUUGUUCUUCGGUUGUGCAAUCUGUGAAGUAAUGUUAGCUCCUGGUGUGGAGAGGCCCUCGAGAGAUUGACAGAAGAGAGUGAGCACACGGCGUGAUGCCGGCAUAACAUGUAUGCCGUCUUCGCCGCGUGCUCACUCCUCUUUCUGUCAGCCUCUUUCUCUCAGGAGUUUACGUUACAUUCAGAUCCACUGGUGGGUAUGUAGAAUUAAUUCGAUUCAAUUUCAAUUUAAUAGUUCAUAAUUUCCACACAAAAAAGAAGGUCAAACCCUGCUUAUGAGAGGAACUCAGCCACAAAAGAAAGACAGAACAUCGCAUGCGGCAUGUACUCUGGCUUUUCUCCGACUUUACCAUGCCACUUCCUUAUCUCUUUAGAUGUGUGCGCACGGAAAAAAAAUUGCUCUGUUGUUUUGAUCUUUUCAGUCAAGUUGCUCCUGGGAACUACUACCGAGGAGAGUGAUACGGAUGCUAGUGGUAAUUGUAAGGAGUGGCAGCUGUAGGCUUGUAGUACUGGAAUAAAUGAUUGGAUCUGUUACUUGUUUUUUUCAUCCUCAAAUUGUUUUAUCUUCUCCCUUUGCAGUUGUACUCGCCUUGGGAGCUGAAUCAUGAAGAUGCUGCCGGUACACUGCAACAUGCACCCUCUCUCUUUCUCACCCUAACUACCCCCUUCUUCUUUCCUGUUGCCUUGUUUUCAAUGGAAGCAGGUUUUAGCCAUGGUGGUGGGGCUUCAUCAAGUUCUUGUUGGGGUAAAAAUGGAGCAUGGAGUAAGCUAAGAGAUGAGCCAUAUUUGGCAAGGAAGGUGGCCUCACUUUGCUUUUGCCAGAUCUAGUUUGCAUCUUAGGAUAAGAGCAUCAUGUUAAUAGCGAACGUAACAGCUGCACCAUCAAUUUGGACAAGGUACCACUCCCAUGGUUUCUUUAGCCCCCUUUUUGUUGGUUAUACUAUCUGGUGCCUCCUUCUGAUGGUGCGAAUUGCAGCUGCUUUUGGUGUCAUUAAGAUGUGUUAUUGGUUGCAUCUGAAUACAAUUUAGUUUUUCUUGCUUUGACCUACAUGUGAUUUGGUCUAUGAGUGAGAAGUUGAUAAAAAUAAGUCCAGAUGAUUAAUAUGUGUGCUUGGUUAACUGAAGCUGUUCUUCAGUUCUAGAAAAAAAAUAAGUCCAUCUUGCUUGUUGUUGAACACAGACUUGCCAAGAAGAAUCUGAAACGCGUCUAGUAACCUACCUAAGCACAGCCAUAUCAAUUUGUGUGGAGAAAGAAGUGACACGUAGUAAAAUCUAAUCUCUUGAAUGAUCUGGUUGAUGUGAUUCAAGGUGAUGCACGCUUUAGACAAGUUAAUUGCUAUUCUAGCUAACAUAUAUAUGCAUAGACCCAUUUUCCAAGCGAUGGUAAAUCAUUAAAUUGUCAACAUCCUCGUGCUAAGUUUGUUUGUGGUGGCAGUUUUUUCUAGCUAUCUACGUGUUAGUUUCUGUGGUUCAAUAAAAAAAUAGUUAUUUCUGUGGAUCCAUUGUGUUGAUGUGAUGUAUUAUUUCUCAUUCGUUCAUUUCACUAUGAAAGUUCUUAUUAUUUUAUCUUUUUAGCUACCUUAAUCAUAAGCGCAUUAGUUUUUAGCUACCUUGUUACUUCAUGUUGGCCAUAUUUCUAUCUAAUUCAGAUUCACCUUGUUUUUCACAAAUUUCAACCAGCAUAUGUUUGCUUUCAUCAUCCCUUUCCCCUAGAUGUCCUCGUAUAAAAGCAUAGGAUAACAUGACAUAUGUGGAAAGCAUAUGUGCGACGUGUCCAAGUUAACAAAAUUUGUGCAAAUUAUGGCAGAUUCAACUGUGGUUGGAUUAAGUAAUCUGGUUUACUAAUCUGAGUAUCUUAGUUAUCAUGCUAGAUUCGCCUUGAAAAUUGUCACCCAAUUUCAUGCGGCGAGAUACAUAUCGUAGCGUUUAUUUUAGUUGCUUCAAAAAUAGUAAUUCUAAAUCGGUUUGUCUUAUUUCAUCUUUGAUCUACCUUUUUUGAAUGCUUCUUGAAGGAAAGAGAUGUAAAGGGAGAACUUUUAGACAUUGAACCGUAGUCAUCCUUAGAGUCUUACUGUCAAAUUGUGUUUAUAAUUCGACUUGUAGAUAACUGUGCAUGCUUUCGAAUUAUAUAUAAAAGGUGAUUUUCGGUAUAACAUCCAUUUUAAGUUAUGGAACCACCGAAAUUCAGUUGAAGCUUCUUUAAAGUACAUAUUAUUUACUAUUGAGCUGACUCGUAGUUUAUAUCUUGGAAAUCAGAAGUAGGUAACGAAGAUUAUCAUGAUAGUAAUUUAAUCAGGAAGUAUUUGCUAAUAUGUCGCAUACAUGUUUGAAGAAAUUAUCUGCAUUUUGAGUUUGAAUGAUUGCUCUGAUGUGUUGUCACUGUGCUAUAUAGCUAGUUCGGAAAAUGUUUAACAAUAAUAGAGAUAGACAAUUGUUGUUUCAAAAGCCACCACAAUAUUGAUGCCUGAAUCGCAGGGUCUAGCAAAUCUCACAUCGAUUGAUGGGCAUUGUCUUAAAAAACUGUUUGUUUUGCAAUCUUAUUCAUAACUACAUAACUUGUGAAUCUUAUAUAGUUAGUGGCAUUUUCCCUUAUUGAGUUCAUUCUCUUUAUAGAACAUUCUUGAGAAUGUGUAUAUGACUAACCAAACAAUACUGUUCUCUCACCUUUAAAUGAUACUCCCUCCAUAUCAAAAUAUAAGUCGUUUUUUGACACAGUUAUAGUGUCAAAAAACGUCUUAUAUUUUGAUAGAGGGAGUACUUAAUUAAAAAUGAAAUCUUGUCACUCUCUCUGGUACUUAAUUAAAACCAGACAAUACUGUUCUCUCACCUUUAAAUCUAUGUGUUGUUCAAAAUAUGCCUUAUAAAAAGGGCAUACAUUUAGAGAGGUGUGUAUAAUUGUACAUACAGAAAGAGAAUAUACGCUUGUUCAACUAUUGUAACUAACCUUACAUAAGCCAUCCAACAUGGGAAAUGCAUGUCGUUGCACUCAUGUUCUCUUCCAUUGUGUUUACGAAUAAAUAUUUUCGUUUUCUGUACAGUAUUUUCUUAUUUUUAAACAAAGGCAGAAGUUUGCCAUAUUUCACUGAUUAAGGAGAAGAAAAAUAAAGUUAUGUACAAACAAGGCUGUAGCAGAAGAGCUGGACUACUCUCCCAGCCUUCUAUGAAUUGGGCAUAGUACGCAGAGGAUGUGUAGCAGGAGUUUUCCGUAAGCUUCCAAUGUCCUCACCUUUGUUUGUAGCUCAACAGGGAGAAAUUCUCUCCCAAAGGGUGAAGAACUCAUAGAUGUGGAAUAUUCACCUAAUUCAAGUUUAGGGAGUAUUAGUUCAAAUGGAUAGAUAAGAGGCAAUAACUGUGAGAAACUAAAUAUCUAUUAUGUUAAGGAAAAUAGGGUCAUCCUACUAUAAUUACAAGAGAGUAAGUAAACAACAUGUAAUACUAGACGACACGCUACGUGUUUGCCGUUGAAUUGGAUAUAUAGUUUCCAAAUAUUGUGCAGAAUACCUUACGUUUUAAACUAGUUGAGAAAAUUUUGCAUCAGAAAAAAAGAUAAUUUUAGCAUGUAAAGUUGUGCACGUCACUAAUAAAUGCAAUGUGAUUUAAAAUUCACUUAGAAUGCACUAAUGCAUGUUCGUGGUAGAGGAUUCUCAUGCAUAGAUCAUAUGGAUGCUAGUGGAUCAAGCUCGUAAAUCUAACGGCUACAACAACUUUAAUGAUGUGGGAUGUGGAAGCAUGCAUGAUGAGAUAGUUAGAAAUAGUGAGGAUCACUCUGUUAGGUAUAUACUCCCAAAAUGAGUGUCUUGACCUUAGUACAACUUUGUACUAACUUUAGUAUGAAGUUGAAACACUUAUUUUUGGACGAAGGAAGUAUAUGAUUAGGGGUAUUCAUUCCUUUGUUGGAAUACCAAAACCAGGCAGAUAUGCUGUAGUUCGAAUUUCCUCUUUGCCAGUGAUAAGGCUAGCUUUCAUAGGUUGGUGAAAACCGUAUUUGAACACCCUGGUAAUUGUAAACACAUGAAUGAAUAAGAUAAUAAAAAAAGAUACACAAAGCUCAUUUAAUUUGUAGUGGAAUAUUAUUAACGAAUAUCCAUUUCUAAGCCCAGGCUUAUCUGCAUCCAGUGAAGAGAAAAUUCACAAAAAAUAAAAAAAAAAUGUAACAAGCUAAGUCACAUGGGGAAUGAAAGGGAAAACAAAAAAAGCUUGCACCGGGGCGGCUUUACAUCAGUAAAUAAAGUUCUUAUAAUGAACCUUACAUGUAACUUUACCAUGCAUACACUCAGUGGCAAGAUGGCUCCCUGGAACCCCUAUUGCAGCUAAUUAUAUGUCAAUGUACUAUCUCUAAAGCAUUCCGGCCCAUAGAAGAAAUCUAAUAUAGUUUGCAGCAAAUAGCAAAUAGUUUUAGCUACUUUGUUUGAAUUUUAUACUCAUAUCUCUCCCUAUGAUUCUAUUCAAGCAUACUGUGUGUACAAGUUUUUUGAAGACGAACUAGCUAGUACUCCCUCUAUUCCUAAAUAUAAGUCUUUUUAGACAUUUCAAAUGAAGUACAACAUACGGAUGUAUGUAGACAUUUUUAGAGUGUAGAUUCACUCAUUUUGCUCCGUAUGUAGUCACUUGUUGGAAUCUCUAGAAAGACUUAUAUUUGGGAACGGAGGAAGUAAUAAAAGACCUGUGCAUCAUAAUGCAUCCACUCUCCAGCCAUUUUCAUGAUAUAUGGUAGGUCGUAACUAUGGUUAGAAUAAUUCCUCCAUUUUUAUUUAAUCUUGGAUUUACGUCGACUCUGUGUAUGUGUAUGGCUUCGUGUAAGCCAUUAAAAUCAACUCCUGGUCUGUUUUGUUCAAUGCAUAUGUAUUUGAAAACUACCAAUUCUGGGUGGCAACUGGUGUAACUUAUCAGGAAAAUUCCAAACAUAUGUAUGUAGUUUCAUAGUAUAUCAUGUAAUCCAGGUUCCGAAAAAAAAAUGUGUAUCAACAGAAGCAGAAAUAAUAAUAACGAGGUCCCUUUCGUAUCAGAUUUUCUUGGGGCCGGGGUGCAGAUUCUUCAGUGUGCAUUGCAGAUCGAAUAUACACUAGAGGGUAAUUAAACAAUAAAUCCAUUUAUGUUAUAUUCCUGGCCCAUUACAUCGUUUUACCGAGGUUGGGAGCAUAUCAGUAGCACCAAAUUACGGCAGCAGCGCGACACAUUAUCCUCUCGUGCUCUUGAUAUUUCAGUCAAGCCACAGACAGCCUUUUUGUUGAUUGUGUGGAUCCUUAAUAGCCUUUGUGACAACGGGACCUGGUGUGAACUGUUAAGCCAUGGUCGACAUGUUCAAAAAAAUAAUAAAAUAAAAGGAUCAGAUCAUCAUGUUCCAAUGCUGGCGGAAAGAAGGACAUGACAGUACAAUUGCCUUACCUGUCACACUUCAUGAGGCAUCACGCCUACUGUCGUAGCCUAGCUGCAUGCUGCAGGUUUGUCCUGCCUCUAGGCGUGCGCUGUCGAUCCCACCAUGCAUGCAUAUGGUGCCGCCGUGUCGUGCAUGUAUGCACUUGGGUUCAUGAUAAUCCUGGCAGGGAAAUACACUCGGCAGGAAGAGAGUAUACACGUACUGAAAAUGGUAUUAUUUCUUGUUUAAACGUGUUGAGAUUUGAUUUUAUGCGUCAAUACGACGAGUCCUUCACACACGGUUUGUACGGAGGCAUAAAUUAUAAUAACAGUAUGCAAAACUCACCUUGCCUUUGCCUCGAUUCAUCAGGUUGGUGAUGCCUGUGGUUGAGAAGGUUGAUGUGGCCACUGUCUGGACGCCUUCUACUAGGAGUUGCUUGGCUGAUGACACUACAACAUGUUCUACAAUUUUUUUUGACAAAUGAGCAACUAAUCACCCUGGAUCUGGCAAGGCUGUUGAUGGUGGCUAAAUUUCAUGUUUUGAUCAUUUUUCAAAACUUGAUCGAGAUCUGACCCUGCCUUGCAAAAAAUUCGGGAUCUGACCCUUUUCUUACCGCCAGAGUCCAUGGCGUUAGGGGAUAACAGCCUACCGCCAAGAUCCCUGACGGUAGGGUUGCAUACCUUACCAGAAAAAUUUCAUAAGUAUGGAACACAGUGUGUGCUCGCACCUACCGUCGGGCACCUUGGCAGUAGGGUUGUACAGGCUACCGCCAGCCUGUUUGGCGGUAGGCGGUAGGCUGUUACACCCUACCCAUGACGGUAGCAAAAGGGUCAGAUCCCGAAAUUUUUACAAAUUGGAGUUAUUAACUUUUGGAAAAGGGUCAAAACAUGAAAUUUUGCCGUUGAUGGCCUCAUGAAGGAGAAAUCAGAGAACAUUGGGUAGAUGGUGUCGGUGGGUGACGAGGUUGAUAAAGAAGUGCGCCAGACACCUAAUUCUGAGGCUCUCUUUGCAAAAGAGCUCUAUGACUUGCUUGCUAGUUUGGAAGUGGCUAGCCCUGGAUUUGGCAAGGCGAUUGCUUGCAUCUUGAUGGAGAAGGUUUCCACGAGCAAAAUUGAGAAGGUGCAAAAGGCUCUUAGGAGCAAAGGCAAGAAGUGUGGCGUCAUUGAAAAGGCGCCUGCCGCUGCUUAAACGAAUGGUCUCGAGUGUCUUGGACCAUCCCCAUGGUUAGGCUUGUUUUCGUGGAUUUGGUUGUGUCCGCUAUUUUCAGUAGAGAUGUUCUUAUUGGUGGUUCCAUUGCGUCGUAGAAGUGUGAGGGCUUGUUAUUGUUGUUGUUUUUGUCGUUAGAUAUGUUUAUUGGAUCGGUCGUGCGGUCAU
rnacentral:rRNA from 1 species